UGAUGAAAAUUCUCCGGAAUCUCUGUACUCCAUUGAUGAUCCCUUGAACCCAUAUCUGCUGAUGGCUGUGGUAAUGGUU
rnacentral:snoRNA from 11 species